GGGUCACCUCUGCCUCCCGCACAGUCCAGCUGAGAGCUUGCCCGAGCACGUGACCUGGGGGGUUCGGAGCCCAGCGGGGAAGUGGACCUCCGUUCCAGGACGCCUGGGUCUCAUGGAUAGGGAGGGAGUCGCCAUCAGAGAGGACAGCGGAAGGCCUUGGACUCGCUUUCUGUGCUCUGAUUUAGGCAAGCACCCCACGAACUGAGAGCCACAUCCCCAGUCCCUCUACGCCGCCCGCACUUAAAAAAAAAAAAAAAAAGUUUUUCUGCUUGUAACGACUUGGGGGGAGAUGGAAUUUUGGGAAAGGGAAAUAAAUGUUUUAGGAGGUAAGAUCUUUAUUUGAACAAGCUAGCUGUCUAGGGAAACGGAGGGAGCCCAGGAGAGCUGAGGACCAGAUUCCCUGAGGCAGGGACGCUGGUUAUCCAUGGCCAUACGGAUUAACUAGUUGUGGAGUCCCUUCGAAGAACUGAUGCCCAAAACGCUGGGAAUUAUUCAGCCAGGCGCUCGAAGGAACUUUAGUUCUCACCUGCUUAAGAGGCUGAGGGCAAAGCUUUAUGUUUAAAGACUGUUUGAUGGCUCCUGAGAUGAUUCAGCCAGUAAAGGAACUUGCCACCAAGCCUGAUCGCCUGGAACCCACGCGGUAAAGAGAACCAGUUCCCACAAGUUGUCCUCUCAUUUCCACACAAAUUAAAUAAAUAGAUAGUGCGUGGUGGUGCUUGCCUGAAUCGCUAUACCUCAGAGAUGGAGGCAAAAGGAUCACAAGUUUGGAGUAAGCCAAGACAGCACAGGAAGUUGUUUGUUUGUGUGUUUGUUUGUUUGUUUGUUUGUUUUUACCAUAGGAGACAGUGGUAUUCUUUACUCGCACCUGAUGCUGAAUCGAGGAAUUUAAGUGGAACAGUGUGCAGAUAGUAGCCCAACUUGAGCUUAGCGUUCCAAAAGACAGAGGAUUCCUGAAAGUGAUGCAAAUAUUCAAUUUAUCCGAUUUCAUUUCUACACCAGUAGUCAGCCGCGUUGGCUAAAUGGUUUUAAAAACCUAAAUGCAAGAAACCCGAACCUUCUAUUAUCUCAGGAACAGCAAAUAAUAACGUGAAAAGACAGCUUCAAAAGCCUUUAAGCCCAGAACUGGGAAGGCAGAGGUAGGCAGAUCUGUGUGAGUCUAAGGCCAGCCUGAUUUACAUAUGGAAUUCCAAGCCAACCAGAAAUAACAUAGUGAGCUGCUGUCUAAAAAAAUC
rnacentral:lncRNA from 1 species